GGGUGCGAGCGUUAAGUACGGUAAUUACGUGGGACGUAAAGACGCAUGCAGGCCGGCCGUGUUAAGUACAGAUGUAGAAACGGACCCGGGGACCGUUUAACCCGUACGGUAAGUUGCUAUUUAGUAAACGUAGGCGAGGCGUAGAGUCUUGUAGAGGGGGUAGGAAUUUCAGGUGUAGCGGUGAAAUGCGUAGAGAUCUGAAGGAAUACCAGUGGCGAAGGCGGCCCCCUGGACAAAGACUGACGCUCAGAUGCGAAAGCGUGGGGAGCAAACAGGAUUAGAUACCCUGGUAG
rnacentral:rRNA from 1 species